rnacentral:rRNA from 1 species
CCUACGGGCGGCUGCAGUGAGGAAUAUUGGUCAAUGGACGAGAGUCUGAACCAGCCAAGUAGCGUGAAGGAUGACUGCCCUAUGGGUUGUAAACUUCUUUUAUAUGGGAAUAAAAUGUUCCACGUGUGGGAUUUUGUAUGUACCAUAUGAAUAAGGAUCGGCUAACUCCGUGCCAGCAGCCGCGGUAAUACGGAGGAUCCGAGCGUUAUCCGGAUUUAUUGGGUUUAAAGGGAGCGUAGGUGGAUUGUUAAGUCAGUUGUGAAAGUUUGCGGCUCAACCGUAAAAUUGCAGUUGAAACUGGCAGUCUUGAGGACAGUAGAGGUGGGCGGAAUUCGUGGUGUAGCGGUGAAAUGCUUAGAUAUCACGAAGAACUCCGAUUGCGAAGGCAGUUCACUGGACUGCAACUGACACUGAGGCUCGAAAGUGUGGGUAUCAAACAGGAUUAGAUACCCGUGUAGUC